UUCCUUAUAGAUUUAAACUAAGCAAACAUGUAAAUGAAUAACCUUUUUUUUGGUUUAGUGGGUGGAGCCAGCUGUCCUCAUUAGAAUAAAGGUUGUUUAUUCACCCCAAGUAUAAAUGGAAACAAUGAGGAAAAGACAAAAACAGACACAAAACUAAAGGCAAAACAUGAACCAAGCAGCACCCUAUUGGGGUUGAAAGAAGGAGAAAUCAUGUUUACUUGAUUGGGGAGAGGGAGGUAAAGUCAUUCAGUCUACCUUGCUGUGAAGAUUAAAAGAGAUGAUGUAAAUUCCUGGCUCUGUAGGAGCUCAAAAAAUGAUAGUUACAGUUCAACUGAUUAAAUAAUGAAAAGGGUUCCUGCUGUGAGCAUCUGAUGGUCAUGAUAAUGUCUGAAGUACUUUAUUUUUUAAUUGUUCAGCCACGAGGAGGGGUGGAAGAAGGCC
rnacentral:lncRNA from 1 species